AGAGUUUGAUCCUGGCUCAGAUUGAACGCUGGCGGCAGGCCUAACACAUGCAAGUCGAACGGUAACAGGAAGCAGCUUGCUGCUUCGCUGACGAGUGGCGGACGGGUGAGUAAUGUCUGGGAAACUGCCUGAUGGAGGGGGAUAACUACUGGAAACGGUAGCUAAUACCGCAUAACGUCGCAAGACCAAAGAGGGGGACCUUCGGGCCUCUUGCCAUCGGAUGUGCCCAGAUGGGAUUAGCUAGUAGGUGGGGUAACGGCUCACCUAGGCGACGAUCCCUAGCUGGUCUGAGAGGAUGACCAGCCACACUGGAACUGAGACACGGUCCAGACUCCUACGGGAGGCAGCAGUGGGGAAUAUUGCACAAUGGGCGCAAGCCUGAUGCAGCCAUGCCGCGUGUAUGAAGAAGGCCUUCGGGUUGUAAAGUACUUUCAGCGGGGAGGAAGGGAGUAAAGUUAAUACCUUUGCUCAUUGACGUUACCCGCAGAAGAAGCACCGGCUAACUCCGUGCCAGCAGCCGCGGUAAUACGGAGGGUGCAAGCGUUAAUCGGAAUUACUGGGCGUAAAGCGCACGCAGGCGGUUUGUUAAGUCAGAUGUGAAAUCCCCGGGCUCAACCUGGGAACUGCAUCUGAUACUGGCAAGCUUGAGUCUCGUAGAGGGGGGUAGAAUUCCAGGUGUAGCGGUGAAAUGCGUAGAGAUCUGGAGGAAUACCGGUGGCGAAGGCGGCCCCCUGGACGAAGACUGACGCUCAGGUGCGAAAGCGUGGGGAGCAAACAGGAUUAGAUACCCUGGUAGUCCACGCCGUAAACGAUGUCGACUUGGAGGUUGUGCCCUUGAGGCGUGGCUUCCGGAGCUAACGCGUUAAGUCGACCGCCUGGGGAGUACGGCCGCAAGGUUAAAACUCAAAUGAAUUGACGGGGGCCCGCACAAGCGGUGGAGCAUGUGGUUUAAUUCGAUGCAACGCGAAGAACCUUACCUGGUCUUGACAUCCACGGAAGUUUUCAGAGAUGAGAAUGUGCCUUCGGGAACCGUGAGACAGGUGCUGCAUGGCUGUCGUCAGCUCGUGUUGUGAAAUGUUGGGUUAAGUCCCGCAACGAGCGCAACCCUUAUCCUUUGUUGCCAGCGGUCCGGCCGGGAACUCAAAGGAGACUGCCAGUGAUAAACUGGAGGAAGGUGGGGAUGACAUCAAGUCAUCAUGGCCCUUACGACCAGGGCUACACACGUGCUACAAUGGCGCAUACAAAGAGAAGCGACCUCGCGAGAGCAAGCGGACCUCAUAAAGUGCGUCGUAGUCCGGAUUGGAGUCUGCAACUCGACUCCAUGAAGUCGGAAUCGCUAGUAAUCGUGGAUCAGAAUGCCACGGUGAAUACGUUCCCGGGCCUUGCACACACCGCCCGUCA
rnacentral:rRNA from 1 species